AAUUACUUAAUAGAGAAGUUUCUCUGAUUGCAUAGAGAACCAGAAACCACCAGGAGGAGGUGCAGUGUAAACAGACCCUUGGUGUUGCUUUGUUGCAACUGCCAUUUGCCGUUGAUAAUUAUUGCUCUCUUCCUCUUAGGGAGAGUAAGAAGGAAAGAAUGCCAAGUGGG
rnacentral:snoRNA from 1 species